AUUUAGAUAAAGAAUGUAACGUUCGCACGUGUUCAGGUACGGUGCUGCGACUGCUGGUGGCAGCUGCGAGGGCGGUUAGGGCGGCAACGUCCCGCCUCGCCGUUUGUGCCACGGAUAAAAGACUGCCCGACCCCGUGAAAAUUGUACACGCGUUGCAAGGAGUGCAGUAGCAGCGCCCGCGCCAUCGCUACGCCGCGCAGCUGAGAGGGCGGCGCGGCCCGCCUUGCUGAUUGUGUCUCGAAUAAAGAACUGCCCGGCCCUGACAGCCCCGUGGAAAUUUGGUUCGUUAUGCUCCUUAUGCUUAGGCGAUAAAAAUGUAGUUACGACUGUAGUUACAGAAUUUUUGGUAUUUUUUUAUCCUUGAAUGAUUGUAAGUGUAACCUUAACACAGCCAGCAUCCCGAUAUGCGAUACCUAACUAUAGGCGUAUUCUGAAUGUAAUAAAAGGUUAUGGAUUUGA